rnacentral:rRNA from 1 species
GACGAAGUCUGACCGAGCACGCCGCGUGAGCGAUGAAGGCCUUCGGGUCGUAAAGCUCUGUUGUUAAGGAAGAACAAGUACCAGAGUAACUGCUCGUACCUUGACGGUACUUAACCAGAAAGCCACGGCUAACUACGUGCCAGCAGCCGCGGUAAUACGUAGGUGGCGAGCGUUAUCCGGAAUUAUUGGGCGUAAAGCGCGCGCAGGCGGUUUCUUAAGUCUGAUGUGAAAGCCCACGGCUCAACCGUGGAGGGUCAUUGGAAACUGGGAAACUUGAGUGCAGAAGAGGAAAGCGGAAUUCCACGUGUAGCGGUGAAAUGCGUAGAGAUGUGGAGGAACACCAGUGGCGAAGGCGGCUUUCUGGUCUGUAACUGACGCUGAGGCGCGAAAGCGUGGGGAGCAAACAGGAUUAGAUACCCUGGUAGUCCACGCCGUAAACGAUGAGUGCUAAGUGUUAGAGGGUUUCCGCCCUUUAGUGCUGAAGUUAACGCAUUAAGCACUCCGCCUGGGGAGUACGGUCGCAAGACUGAAACUCAAGAA